CUUCGGAGCUAGUGGGCAGACGGGUGAGUAACGCGUGGGAACGUGCUUUCGGUUCGGAAUAACUCAGGGAAACUUGAACUAAUACCGGAUAGCCUCGGGGAAGAUUUAUCGCCGAAAGAUCGGCCCGCGUCUGAUUAGCUAGUUGGUGAGGUAAUGGCUCACCAAGGCGACGAUCAGUAGCUGGUCUGAGAGGAUGAUCAGCCACAUUGGGACUGAGACACGGCCCAAACUCCUACGGGAGGCAGCAGGG
rnacentral:rRNA from 1 species